rnacentral:rRNA from 1 species
AUUGAACGCUGGCGGCAGGCUUAACACAUGCAAGUCGAGCGGGGUGAUGGUGCUUGCACUAUCACUUAGCGGCGGACGGGUGAGUAAUGCUUAGGAAUCUGCCUAUUAGUGGGGGACAACAUCUCGAAAGGGAUGCUAAUACCGCAUACGUCCUACGGGAGAAAGCAGGGGAUCACUUGUGACCUUGAGCUAAUAGAUGAGCCUAAGUCGGAUGAGCUAGUUGGUGGGGUAAAGGCCUACCAAGGCGACGAUCUGUAGCGGGUCUGAGAGGAUGAUCCGCCACACUGGGACUGAGACACGGCCCAGACUCCUACGGGAGGCAGCAGUGGGGAAUAUUGGACAAUGGGGGGAACCCUGAUCCAGCCAUGCCGCGUGUGUGAAGAAGGCCUUAUGGUUGUAAAGCACUUUAAGCGAGGAGGAGGCUCGUUUGGUUAAUACCCAAGAUGAGUGGACGUUACUCGCAGAAUAAGCACCGGCUAACUCUGUGCCAGCCGCCGCAGUAA